rnacentral:rRNA from 1 species
AUGGCGUCUAGCGAGGGAAAUUACCACCGUAGAGGUCCUUACUUUGAUGGUACAAAUUUUGCUAGUUGGAAGCAUAAGAUGAAAAUGCAUAUUCUUGGACAUAACCCCGCCGUUUGGGCUAUUGUGUGUAUUGGCUUGCAAGGUGAAUUUUUUGAUGGGAGAGAACCGAACCGUGAAGCUACCGCGGAAGAGUUGAAGAUGCUGCAAUACAAUGCUCAAGCUUGUGAUAUUCUCUUCAACGGAUUGUGCCCCGAGGAAUUCAACAAAAUCAGCCAUCUUGAGAAUGCAAAGGAAAUUUGGGAUACUUUGAUUGAUAUGCACGAAGGUACCGACUCCGUCAAGGAAUCCAAAUUAGGUGUGCUUCAAAGUCAACUUGACAAGUUCAAAAUGAAGGAUGGUGAAGGCGUCGCUGAAAUGUACUCUAGGCUUGCUCUCAUCACAAAUGAGAUUGCCGGCUUAGGAAGUGAAAAGAUGACCAAUAGAUUCAUCAUCAAUAAGAUCCUAAGAGCCUUGGAUGGAAAAUAUGAUACCGUGUGCACAUUGAUCCAAAUGAUGCCCAACUACAAAGAUCUUAAGCUAACGGAAGUCAUUGGAAGAAUUGUUGCUCAUGAGAUGUCACUUAAGGAUAAGGAAGAGCUUCACAACAAGUCAUGUGGUGCUUACAAAGCCUCAUGUGAUGCCCCCACAUCAUCAAAUGAGAAGCAAACCUUCAAUGAAGAAUUGAGCCUAAUGGUGAAGAACUUUAACAAGUUCUACAAGAGUAGAAGCAAGGAAAGAAGUUCCAAGUCAAGGUCCUACAAUGACAAAAGAUCUUCUAGUCGUGAGCAUAACUGCUACAAUUGUGGAAGACCCGGACACUAUUCCAAUGAGUGUACGGCUCCCUACAAAAGAAGAGAAGAUUCUCCCAAGAGAAGGAUUAGGAGAGAAGAAUCACCAUCAAGAGAGAGGAGGAGUAGAGAUGAUCGUUAUGAACGAAGACCCUCUCGAAGAAGCAAGGAUUCGGAGAGGAAGGACAAGUCAUCAAGGAGCUACACAAAACGAAGACAUCAAGCUCAUGUGGGUGAGUGGGUAUCCGGCUCCGACUCCGACCAUCACUCCGAAAUAAGUUAUCACUCCGACUCCGAAUAUACUCAAGAUGAAGGUGUUGCCGGACUAGCACUUGUGACAACCAACUCCUACGACAUAUUUGACCCACCAAAUGAAGGAAUUGGAAGAUGCUUCAUGGCUAAAGGUCCAAAGGUAACACACCCCGAGUAUGUUGAUUUCAAUAGUGAUGAAGAUGAUUUGCUAGGAGAUGAUGAUUUACUUGUUGACAACUCUAGUUAUGAAAACUAUGAUGAACUUGCUAUUAAUCAUGCUAAUCAAGAUAAAACGAAUGACGAUGAUAAGAAGGAGAUUGAGCGUCUAACUAAAGAACUAAACACUCUUAAGUUAGCUCAUGAGACUACCUUGGAAGAUCAUCGAGAACUUUUAAAGACUCAUGAGAAGCUACGCUUUGAAAAGCUCAACCUUGAGCAGGAGCACGAGUUCUUAAAAGCAAUCAAUGAUGAUCUUCGCAAGAAAAGUUCUUCUUACAUUGCCAAGCGUUUACUCGUGUCUACUUACAUGCCACAAGUUAAAUCUAGCAACAAGAACAAGAAAGAUUCUUCAUCUAGUAGUAACAACAAUCAUGCUAAAUCAAAUAUUGUUGCUUCUUGUAGUUCUCUUGAUUCCACUAGUGAUUCUCUUAGCCAAGUUACACUUGAGCAAGAAAAUAGCUUAUUGAAGGGAAUUAUAGAGAAAGGUGUUUACAAGAGCCUUGCCGGAAGUAAGCAAUUUGAGGAAAUUGUACGCAAGCAAGGAAGGCACCGGAAGAAUCAAGGUGUUGGUUUUGAACGAAAGUUCAAUGCCAAUGGAGUUGAGUGGGAAGAAGAUCAAUACCCCAAGACGAAGUUUGUUUCUCAACAAGAGAAGUAUGAUCCUACUUCUUUCAAAGGAACACAAGCUCAAGAUGAUCUUCCACCACAAGACCACAAGCUAAAAGGCAAGGACAAGCUUCAAGAGGAAAUUGAUGCAUUUGAGGAAGCUCCUAAGGCCUUGGUCAAGUGGGUUCCCAAGACUACAUCAAGUUCUACCUCGUCAAGUACGACUACAACUCCAAGGAUUCCCAUCAAGAUGGUGUGGAUCCCUAAGAAGGAGAACUAG